rnacentral:lncRNA from 1 species
UGGAAGAGAGGCCGGCGGGUGUGAGCCGCGUGUGUCACUGCAGUCCUCUUCCUGCACCACGCUGCCGGUUGCUGAUUGCUAAGCAGUUAGCAUUAUUUCUGUGGCAAUUGCAGAGGCUGUUGUUAAUUGGAGAAGCCCCACUAAGCCAAAGCAUCUUCCCUCUUCGGAUGUGCUCUCUGCUCUUUGCCUUUAAAAAGAGAUCUAGGCUGGUCUCCCCACUUUCCCUCUCCUAUCCUCCCCAAAACAGCCUUGCGAUUUUGGAAGUAUGGACUCAAUGACAGUCUUCCCAGCCGAUUGGAUUCUGGUGGCUCCAAACUCACCUUCAAAUCGCACCUGCCCCUGUACAGGUGGGCAUUCUGGACAGGAGGUCAUGACUAAAGCCAAGGAACCAAAUGCUCCAGGGAAAUCCGGGCAGUAGCAGGAACAGCUGCAGCUAAAUGGGCAUUCAUUGACCAACGGAGGAAGCCCACACAGCACAAUAGGAUGCCUGAGAGAUGCACGCAGCUAUACCUCUGAGGAUGGAUGGAUUGGCACCCCCAGGAAGUGGCGGAGAUAGUUCAACAGAGGAAAUUAGAAACUGACCUGCCACCUCCUCCAGAGCAAGAGUACUCCAUGUCAAGGAGGGGUUGGGACAAGGCUGGAGCUCCCACUGGCCCCUAAUGUUCUCUGAGAGGAUGAAAAGACUCUCCCAAGCCAGGCAUCCUGGUUCUCUUAGGCGAGAUAAGGGAGUCUUCAGCCAAGCCCUCUGCAAGUAAGUGUGCUUUGAUUUGAGCAAAUUGUUAUGGGGGGGAUCCUCCUCUCUAGAAGAGACAGGAAGUACUUUUGAAGCAGGGAAUUUUGUGGCAGAAUGAACCUUGCUGGAGCCACCCAGCUGCCUAUUAUCUGUGCCGAGGCAAGAAGUCUCAGGAGAAACAGGAAUAAAGAGAGCUUACCAGGACCAGAUUGCAGUUUUGAUGGAAUCCUCCUUGCUGAUACUCCAGCUUGCUGGAGUUGGCUAUGUCCGGGGGUUGCUUAGUUUGGGUGUUUUCCUACAAGACACAUAAAGCCUUCAUAGAUAAAUUAGAUUAAAUUAGAACAGAUACAAAGUAUUGAGAAUGAUUAAAUAUAUUUUAAAAGUCCACCAAGACAAAUGAAUCAAUAUAGGUCAAGAGGCUUAUUAUCUCAACUAUUAAAGAUUCAAGGUAGGCUUUUAAUAAUUCCCCAGAUGACUAAAGUCAUGAAGCUUUGUUUCUUCUGUUAACCUUAAAUCAAUAGACAGCCAGUUAUUUCU